AUCUAAGAUCACAUAUAUAUCUCUUCAACUUCUCUCUGCUUAAUCUCUCUUAUUACCAAUCAGACCCUAAGUGUCAAAAUGUCUGCAUUAUCUAUUUUCUUCUUGAUAUUGUUUUGCUUUCUAUUUUCAUAUGGAGCAGCAACACAUAAGAUUAUCAGUUUACCGGAUUAGCCACCGGUAAACUUCAGCCAAUACUCCGGUUACAUCACUGUCGAUGUUAAUCACCAGAGGAACCUAUUCUACUAUUUCGUAGAAGUAGAAGUUGACCGAUCAUCAAAACCAGUUAUACUCUGGUUACAUGGAGGGCCUAGGUGUUCUGCCGUAGGAGAAGCUGCUUUCACCCAGCACGAACCUUUCCUGGUCAGUCCCAAGGGUUUGGUCAAAAAUCCCUUCAACUGGAAUAGAGGUAUUUUUAUACAUUUUUUCAAGUAAUUACCACAAAAAUUAUUUAUGAGUUCUCCAUUAUAAAAUUUGUUUUUUUUUACUGAUUUUGCAUUCUCUAUUACAGAAGCAAGCAUGAUAUACUUGGAUUCUCCAGCUGGUGUUGGUUUCUCUUAUUCGGCCAACACGUAUGAUUAUAUAUUUCUAAAUGAUGAAUUUGCAGGUUACAUCCAAACAAUGUUGUUACCGUGGCGAUUCCAAAAAUUGUAGAAAAGAUUAUCGGGGAACGUUCAACGUGAGCUUAAAGUCCAAGGAAGAGAAAAAGAGCGAAAAGAGUGGUUUGGUAUGUUUAAAGUAAGAAAUUUAAUUUCUUUUUUAGUAGUUUGAUGAAAAUAAUGUUGAUUUUGUAGAGUUUGACUUACUAGUAGAUUUUGGCAGUCACUUGUAUCAUUAGAAUAUUGUGAUGAUGCUAAAAUGAAAGACUUGUUUCAUUAGAAAUAUAUCAAACGAGUGACUGAUAUAUUUAAAAAGGUUAGAGAUGAGAAUGAAAGGCCGCCUUGGACAGGUGUAGAUGCACAUACAUAUCUUCUUUAUGAGUGGAAGAAAGAAGACUUCAGAAAACUCUUUCAACUAAAUAAGAUUAAUCGAUCAUCAAGCAGAGGUGGGACAGUCCAUAUGACAAGUCAUAGGGCUCACCAUGGUGUUGCUCUAAAAUUGAUGUAUAUUCUAUUUGUAAUUACAAUGCGUUAAGAUAAUUAUAUCUAAUAUACAUUAUAAUCAUAUAUAUUGUCUUUGAGUAUAGUCUAAUCAAACCACACAUUUGGAUGAGCUCUUUAUCG